CCUACGGGCGGCUGCAGUGGGGAAUAUUGGACAAUGGGGGCAACCCUGAUCCAGCCAUGCCACGUGUGUGAAGAAGGCCCUCGGGUUGUAAAGCACUUUCAGUGAGGAAGAACGCCUGGUGGUUAAUACCCAUCAGGAAAGACAUCACUCACAGAAGAAGCACCGGCUAACUCCGUGCCAGCAGCCGCGGUAAUACGGAGGGUGCGAGCGUUAAUCGGAAUUACUGGGCGUAAAGCGCGCGUAGGUGGCUUGAUAAGCCGGUUGUGAAAGCCCCGGGCUCAACCUGGGAACGGCAUCCGGAACUGUCAAGCUAGAGUGCAGGAGAGGAAGGUAGAAUUCCCGGUGUAGCGGUGAAAUGCGUAGAGAUCGGGAGGAAUACCAGUGGCGAAGGCGGUCUUCUGGACUGACACUGACACUGAGGUGCGAAAGCGUGGGUAGCAAACAGGACUAGAUACCCUGGUAGUC
rnacentral:rRNA from 1 species